rnacentral:rRNA from 1 species
AAGACCUUGCGCUUUUGGAGCGGCCGAUGCCUGAUUAGCUUGUUGGUAAGGUAAAAGCUUACCAAGGCUUCGAUCAGUAGCUGGUCUGAGAGGACGGCCAGCCACACUGGGACUGAGACACGGCCCAGACUCCUACGGGAGGCAGCAGUGGGGAAUUUUGGACAAUGGGGGCAACCCUGAUCCAGCCAUGCCGCGUGAGUGAAGAAGGCCUUCGGGUUGUAAAGCUCUUUCAGCCGGAACGAAACGGUUACGGUUAAUACCCGUGAUUACUGACGGUACCGGAAGAAGAAGCACCGGCUAACUACGCGCCAGCAGCCGCGGUAAUACGUAGGGUGCGAGCGUUAAUCGGAAUUACUGGGCGUAAAGCGUGCGCAGGUGGUUUUGUAAGUCAGAUGUGAAAGCCCCGGGCUCAACCUGGGAACU